ensembl:lncRNA
ACCCCCAGCCUCCCCCUGGCCCACCUGGGCCCUUACCCCUGCCCGUGCUGGGAGCUGGGAAACAAAGUAACUUACAUAUACCACUCUCCUACUCUCACCCCCCAUGGCUCCCCAGUACCCUCUGCACAAAACUAAAGUGCAUCACCCCCCUCCUAUGGCAUAGGAAGGUCUGGAAUAGGGGUGGCCUGCAGCCCACCUUGGGGUCAGGGGAAGCUGCCCGCCUGCUGCAGAACGCUCAGCCUGCUCAGGAUCCCUCAGGCUCCAGGUCAGCUGCAAGGCCACUUCCUCAGAGAAGUCCACCUGUCUGCCCUGACACUGAGUCCUUGCCUGGGGAUGGGAAGCGGGUCCUGAGGACCUGACCCAAAAGGAUUCUCGAAUGCCCCUGCACGCUGGAGGAAGGCAGCCUCAACCUCCCCGGACACCAGCAUCCGCAGGAGGCAGCCAAGUCAGGAGUCGGGGGUCAAGCCCUGGCCACCGGGGGAGGGCCAGAGAAGAAGGCAGCUUGCCCAUGGACUCACACCUGGGGAGGAGGAACUGAGAUGAGAAGCCAGGCCAUAGAGCUUGACGGCCAAAGCUUUCAUCACUGUUUCUGCAGCCUUUGUCUACGUGGGGAAAACCGUCUUGAGUGGGAGCAAUGGAGGGAUCUAGAUCAGAGGAGGGCAGUCCAAUCAGAAAGCCCCUCCCUCACUCCAGGCCAGGGUCUGCGGGGGCCUUCCCAGAGGGGACACCAGGGCCCUGUACCUUCUUAGCCAUCCCUCAGCCCGGAGGGGUGCACUGACCCACAGAGUCACUUGAGAGUUGGGACACCCAGCAUGGCUGUGAGCCGUCCUCCAAGACUCCCAGCCUUUCUAGACCUUCCCGUUUUCAGGCUCAAAAAGGGUAGCUGCUGGCCUCUGGUCACCAGCCGGGACGUGGCAGGGCCUUGGGGCUGCUGACAGCUCUGCCGGCCCUCAGUUUCUUCUGCAGGCCUCUGCAGGGUGGUGACCGGACACGUGGCCAAGGGGACUAAUGUGUUCUCCAAAGCCCCUAUGACCCUGACCCGGAAGCCCCCCCUGGCGCCUAGGGCGAGGGUCACACCCGGGCCCAUCUCUCAGGGCCCCUCCCCGUGAGGGCCUCAACCCUGGGAUUAGGGGGCCGGGGUCAGGGGUCAACAGCAUUUGCCUCGGCUCCUUUCAGGCCUCCAGCAGAUCCGUUCUCCCUGCCACCUCAAAUUUCCUGGACAAAGGCUCCGUGGUGGGACCGGGCGGAGGGCCGGGCCAAGCACCCCUGGGAAAACUGCAGCAGCUCAGGGAAGGUGUCUGCCCCCGCCCCCGGCUUCUGCCCACACGGCCCCAUCAAUCCUUAGAUUACCCGCGGGCAGCCAUGGCGGACACACCCAUGCUACAGAUGGAGAAACUGAGGCUGGGGAGGGGCUCAGCCAGGGCUCCAGGCCAGAAGCUGCUCUGCCAAAGGCCCAGUGGAAUUUUGUGCCGGCCACAGCUGAGCACCAGGCUGGAGGCUGUGCUGUGCAGUGCUGGAGGCGGUGUCUGUGAAGGCAGGCAGGCAGGGCUGGCGGCGGACAAAGGCAGGCAGGCCUGGCCCGCAGGGGCGCGUUCCGCUCGUCAGCGUCGGUUCCACUUGAGUCCAUCCUGGACAGGCCGGAAUAAUCCCUCCCGCGACCACUGCUGGGCCGUGACGACUUGAAGGGGCCCCGCGGGCCUGACUGACGGCCAGGCCGAUGGGGGGGGCACCUGGGGCCCCCCCCACACCCCCUAGUGCUGGGAACAGCCUCAAGCCUUCGUUGAUGACAACUUGGGGAAACUGAGUCACGGGAGCACACACGACCUCUUAUAUCACACAUCGAGGGCUGGCAGCCCAUCGAGGCCCAGACCCCAGGCCAGCCUCACCAAGGCCUCCCCAUCCCCGCUGGCUACACAGCCUCGCCAGUGACCUGGGGGAAUUUUGGGGCCUGAACCAGCUGAGUCAUGGGAACUACGGGCCUCCUGUUCAUUUCCCAGCACCUGGGAGGCAGGUACACACAGGUGGCUGGACCAAAGCCAGGCCAGGGGCCCAGGGAAGGCCCCACUGGCUGCUGCCAAGGCUGGUAGACACGGCUAGCUGCCAUGUGCUCAGGCCGCUCGGCGGGGCGCGCCUCCUCCUCCUCCGCUCGCACCUGGGUGCCUGGAAGGGAUUCCGUAGGAAGGGAUCAAUGACCUCAGGAGGAGAGGAGGAAGCAGCUGGGCCAAGAAUAAUUAGCAGACUCAUGGAGCAUGAAGGUCAGAUGGGGUCAGCGGGAAUGCGGGGACCACGCUGGGGAAACUGAGCCCCAGAGGGAGGUGGCCUUUGAGGAAGGAGAGACGAGAUUCUUGUCUGCUGGGCUCCUCCCACGCCAACCUCAGCCCUUCCUGGGCUCCAGCCUUCACUGCCUCCACCUGCGGCAACUUCUUCAUGGAUUCAUCCUUCGUCCAGUGGACAUUUAUCUCCCACCAGAUCCCAAGCUGCCCAGGUGGCGCUAGUGGCCUUCCCUGAGGAACCAGCGCCAGAGAAGGAGGCCAGCACCGCCAGCCUUGCUGGUAAGCAGAAGCACUCAAGUUGGAGUCCAUGCACCAAACACAUUCACUUAAGGAGGACUCCCAACGCCGGUCCUGCCGCCGCGCCCCGCCCGCUCAGGCGCCCUAGCAGAGCCGCUGCGGAGGGUUCUGCCCAUAAUAAAGACUCCGGACCCGCCUGAGCCGCUGGCUGCCUCCCUCCUUAUCCACCCCUCGCUGACGGCCAGGUCCCAGCUGUGGAGCCCCCUCCUCCGGCCUCGGCGUCUCAUCUGUAAAAUGGGUCUCAGCUGGGUCUCUUCUACUAGUAGGGAGGUCAACUGAGGCCCAGCGGGGAGUGGGGGGGUCCCAGUGGAGAGAGAGGCUGAAUGGGGGGCUGGGACCCAGGCCUUGCACCACUUCGCACACCUGGGUAAACUGAGUCCUGGGGAAGCCGACUACUCGACCAUGCCUGCCCGUCCUCCCCCACCCCUAACACCGGAGCUCACGCCCCCGCUUCGUAAACACGGAAACUGAGGCCCAGAGUGGGGU